rnacentral:rRNA from 1 species
AGGACGAACGCUGGCGGCGUGCUUAACACAUGCAAGUCGAGCGGAAAGGCCCUUCGGGGUACUCGAGCGGCGAACGGGUGAGUAACACGUGAGUAACCUGCCCCUAGCUCUGGGAUAGCUCCGGGAAACCGGGAUUAAUACCAGAUACGACCACUUUAGACAUCUGUCGUGGUGGAAAGGAUUCCGGCUAGGGAUGGGCUCGCGGCCUAUCAGCUUGUUGGUGGGGUAACGGCCUACCAAGGCGACGACGGGUAGCCGGCCUGAGAGGGCGACCGGCCACACUGGGACUGAGACACGGCCCAGACUCCUACGGGAGGCAGCAGUGGGGAAUAUUGCGCAAUGGGCGAAAGCCUGACGCAGCGACGCCGCGUGGGGGAUGAAGGCCUUCGGGUUGUAAACCCCUUUCAGCAGGACGAAGCGAAAGUGACGGUACCUGCAGAAGAAGCGCCGGCUAACUACGUGCCAGCAGCCGC